UCCCUAGCAGUCCAGUGGUUAGGACUCCCCACUUCCACUGCGGGGGUGACAGGUUCAAUCCCUGGUCUGGGAA
rnacentral:tRNA from 1 species